rnacentral:rRNA from 1 species
GAUUUCUGAUCUGUCUCGCUUCGCCCGCCACGGUUUCGUGUGUGAGUGCUGUAGCGAGACGAUCAUCCUUCUAGAGAAUGUCUUCGUCUCUUCAUUGAGCUACGAAGCAUUUCGCUAGAUCGUUUACUUUGAAAAAAUUAGAGUGUUUCAAGCAGGCGUCAUUUGCUAUGAAUACAUUAGCAUGGAAUAAUAAUUUAGGACUUCGGUUCUAUUUUGUUGGUUUCUAGGACGGAAGUAAUGAUUGAUAGGGAUAGUUGGGGGUGCUAGUAUUCAGAGGCCAGAGGUGAAAUUCUUGGAUUCUCUGAAGACUAACUUAUGCGAAAGCAUU